rnacentral:rRNA from 1 species
CCUACGGGGGGCUGCAGUGGGGAAUAUUGGACAAUGGGCGAAAGCCUGAUCCAGCCAUGCCGCGUGUGUGAAGAAGGCCUUCGGGUUGUAAAGCACUUUCAGUGGGGAAGAAAGCCUUGGGGCUAAUACCCUCGAGGAAGGACAUCACCCACAGAAGAAGCACCGGCUAACUCCGUGCCAGCAGCCGCGGUAAUACGGAGGGUGCGAGCGUUAAUCGGAAUUACUGGGCGUAAAGCGCGCGUAGGCGGUCUGAUAAGCCGGUUGUGAAAGCCCCGGGCUCAACCUGGGAACGGCAUCCGGAACUGUCAGGCUAGAGUGCAGGAGAGGAAGGUAGAAUUCCCGGUGUAGCGGUGAAAUGCGUAGAGAGCGGGAGGAAUACCAGUGGCGAAGGCGGCCUUCUGGACUGACACUGACGCUGAGGUGCGAAAGCGUGGGUAGCAAACAGGAUUAGAUACCCCGGUAGUC